rnacentral:rRNA from 1 species
AUUCCAGCUCCAAUAGCGUAUAUUAAAGUUGUUGCAGUUAAAACGCUCGUAGUCGGAUUUCGGGGCGGGCCGACCGGUCUGCCGAUGGGUAUGCACUGGCCGGCGCGUCCUUCCACCCGGAGACCGCGCCUCCUCUUAACUGAGCGGGCGCGGGAGACGGGUCUUUUACUUUGAAAAAAUCAGAGUGUUUCAAGCAGGCAGUCGCUCUUGCAUGGAUUAGCAUGGGAUAAUGAAAUAGGACUCUGGUGCUAUUUUGUUGGUUUCGAACAUCGGAGUAAUGAUUAACAGGGACAGUCAGGGGCACUCGUAUUCCGCCGACAGAGGUGAAAUUCUUGGACCGUUUGAAGACGAACUAAGGCGAAAGCAUUUGCCAAGAGUGUUUUCAUCA